UGCAAGUCGAGCGAACGGAUAAGGAGCUUGCUCCUUUGAAGUUAGCGGCGGACGGGUGAGUAACACGUGGGUAACCUACCUAUAAGACUGGGAUAACUUCGGGAAACCGGAGCUAAUACCGGAUAACAUUUAGAACCGCAUGGUUCUAAAGUGAAAGAUGGUUUUGCUAUCACUUAUAGAUGGACCCGCGCCGUAUUAGCUAGUUGGUAAGGUAACGGCUUACCAAGGCGACGAUACGUAGCCGACCUGAGAGGGUGAUCGGCCACACUGGAACUGAGACACGGUCCAGACUCCUACGGGAGGCAGCAGUAGGGAAUCUUCCGCAAUGGGCGAAAGCCUGACGGAGCAACGCCGCGUGAGUGAUGAAGGGUUUCGGCUCGUAAAACUCUGUUAUUAGGGAAGAACAAAUGUGUAAGUAACUGUGCACAUCUUGACGGUACCUAAUCAGAAAGCCACGGCUAACUACGUGCCAGCAGCCGCGGUAAUACGUAGGUGGCAAGCGUUAUCCGGAAUUAUUGGGCGUAAAGCGCGCGUAGGCGGUUUCUUAAGUCUGAUGUGAAAGCCCACGGCUCAACCGUGGAGGGUCAUUGGAAACUGGGAAACUUGAGUGCAGAAGAGGAAAGUGGAAUUCCAUGUGUAGCGGUGAAAUGCGCAGAGAUAUGGAGGAACACCAGUGGCGAAGGCGACUUUCUGGUCUGUAACUGACGCUGAUGUGCG
rnacentral:rRNA from 1 species